AAAAAAAGGAAGAAAGAGAGGAAGGAAGGGGAAGAAAGGAAAGAAAAAGAAAGAAAGGAAAGAGAGAGAAAGGAAGAAAGAAAGAAAAGGAAAGAGGGGAGCCAGACUAGGGCUCACUGGCUCAUUCAGUCUUAAGCAGUGGUCCCCAACCUUUUUGGCACCAGGGACUGGUUUUGGGGAAGACAAUUUUUCCACGGACUGGGGGCGGAGAUGGGGAUGGUUCAGGUGGUAAUGCGAGCGAUGGGGAGCAGCAGAUGAAGCUUUGCUCGCUCACUGGUCACCUCCUGCUGUACGGCCCAGUUCCUAACAGGCCACUGACAAAUACCUGUCUGCAGCCCAGGAGUUGGGGACCUCUGGUUUAAAGAAUGAAUCCUGAGUAGAAUUAUUUUUUUAACUAGGGCUGAAAUUCAGAUAUGCCCAAGUGUGGAUGCUGAAUCCAGACCCUGCAGCUGUGCCUCGACCCUGAUGAGUGGAGGGAGUGGUCACUCUGUAGCUACUUGUUUCUCAGUAGAUCUAGAGCUCAGAGUUACACUUCUAAAGCUUGUGAUUGUGAUCUCCACAAAUGCUACCAGAUGUUGAUUGUUCCAUAUCAAAACUGUUAGUUCAUCAAGUGGUGAACAAGCUGCCAUAUGCCAGACUCUUUUAUGAAGCUUUUGGGAUAUGGCAGUAAUAGACAGACACGGGAACUUAUAUGCAAGUUGGGAGGAGACAAACAGAAAUCACUGAACAAAAAACAAAAUAAUUUUAGUCUCUGAUAAAUUCUGUGAAGAAGUUAAAAUAAUUUAAUGUGAUAAAGCAUGACUGGGAUCUAGAAGAUUUUUAGCAAUUUUUUUUUAGCAAUAAGAAUAGAGGAGGCAUCUCUGAAGAAACAAUAUUUGAGUUGUGACCUGAAAUGAUGAGAAGACAACCCCAGGAUGACUGUUGGAAGAAUGGUCCAAGCAGAGGGCACACUGAGUGCGAAGGCUUUGAGGAGGAAAAAAGCCAACAUUGCUUGGUGAUGAACAAGGAGCAGAGAGUAAGGAAAUGAAGCCAGAAAGGUACGUAGGCUCUAGCAUAUAAAAAGAGUUAGAAGCCGUUUUAAGGAGUCUGAAUUUAAUUCCAAGUGCAAUGGGAAGGUUUUAGUUUGGGACCUAAAUGAUCUGACAUGUACUUUAAAAAGCUCCCUCAGGCUCCUGUGUGGGGGAUAGCUUGUUGGAAGAUUUCUUUCCUGUCCUGGUAGAGAUUGAUGGAGACUUGGUCUGGGGUUGUAGCAGUGGAGGUAAUAAGAAGUGGUUGGAUUUAAGAUACAGUUGGAUGGUAGAAAAAUAGACUUUUCUAAUGGACUGAGUAGGAGAUAUGAAGGAUAGAGAAAAGUCAACAGCGACUUCAGGGUUUCAUCAUAGCCUGAGCCAAUGGAUGGGUGGUGAUGCCUUAUAUUCAGAUAAGCAUGAAGGUGAAAGAUUUUGGGGUGUGAGGGGUGGUGAUAGAUUUGAGGGAAUUGGUCCUAGACAUUUCAGAGCCUAGUGAAGAGAUUAGGGGAAAGAGAUGCUGAUUGACCUGAGUAUAUGUCUGACCCUGCUUGCUCCUUAAUUAAUGUAUACCUACAAAACCCCAUGACACAGUUUCAUUCAAGGGGCACUUCAAGCCUGGGCCAUGAUGUUUACCAGGAUGCAGUCACGUCUUAUGACAACCAAUGCCUGGUAUUAAGCCCAAUCACACACAAGUCCAAUGACCACUUCCCUUGCUGUUUGGUAAGCUGCUGACUACCUGGCAGUGCUCAGAGGCCAGUUGGGGUAUUCUGCCUUGGACCAUCUGGAUAGAUCAUUAGAGAAAACAAUUUCAGUUGGUUACAGAGUCUUUGAAAAACCUUGAGAUUGGAAUCAAUAAAGUAUAUCUGAAAGGCUGU